rnacentral:lncRNA from 1 species
UUGGGACACUUUGGUGAAGUACAAAAGACCGGCCCUCCCACUCGGCGCUGUUACUGAAAUGAGCUCCUUCGGAGGAGCUGUCCCAUCCCAUCCUUGGCUCCACGGACCUUGUUAUUUCAGUUCGUGGGAUGGGAAGCAAGGAUUGGGGAGAGGACCUUUAGUUCCCAGUGGGAAUUGAAUGUUCAGAAGGCAGGAGAAAAAUGUGCUCAUUCUGGACAUUUCCUAGGAAUGGAAUCAUACACCAUGCAGCCUGGGUGUCUGGCUUCUUUCUUAGCAUCACGUUUUCAAAGUUCGUCCGUGUUGCAGCGUGUAUCAGCACUUCAUUCUUUUUUCUCCCGAAUAAUAUUCCACCGAAUGGACACCCUGGGCUUCCUUCACCCACUAGUCAGGUGUCGGCGCGUUUGGAUUCUUUCCACUUUGGGGCAAUUAGGAAAAACGCUGCAGUGGACGUGCACGUGCGGGUGUUUUGGGAUGCGGAACUAGGUCCUCAGGUUACCGUCCAGCGCGGACAGUGGGGCGCGGCCUGCCAGCGGGGGCCGGGCCUCCGGCUGGGGCUGGCCUGCCCCGGGGACACGGCCGAGCCCGCGGGCCGCCGGCGUCGGGAGCUGCCUCGGGCGCGGGCGCGGCUGCGGCAGGAGCGGCCCGUCCGGGAGCGGCGCCCCGGCCCGUCCAGGGCAGCCUUCUGCCCGCGCGGGAGCCCGAGGCCAUCCACACCGAAAGUCGCCCGCUGAAUCGCCCUCCCGCCUCCAAGAACACAGGAAGCCCCAAACACUAACACCUCGAUUCCAGAUACGCCGCCACGUGCAGGUGCCUCUCCUUUUCCUAUGUACGAGGUGGUGGACCGUCCACACGAAGACCUGUAAGAGCGAGGGGAUGCUGUUCCUAACCGCGCGCUGACGGCAGCGGGACGCUUGUCUGGGCGAACCAGGAUACUAGUCUAUAGGGUCACCUUGGGCGAUUUGAGCAAUUUAUCUAAAUGUAUCUAAACUCACAAAACAUUCUUGACCCCUCACACUCUCCCGGUGAAACGGAAGGAAGGAGGGAGUGAAGCGAUUUUAAAAAGAAACAAAGCCCAAUUCAGCACUGCGUUUGGA